rnacentral:lncRNA from 1 species
UUUUUUUGAGAUGGAGCCUAGCUCUGUCACCCAGGCUGGAAUGUGGUGGUGAGAUCUCAGCUCACUGCAGCCUCUGCCUCCCAGGUUCAAGAGAUUCUCUUGCCUCAGCCUCCUGAGUAGCUGGGACUACGGGCGUGUACCACCAUGCCCAGCUAAUUUUUGUAUUUUUAGUAGAGACAGGGUUUCACCAUCUUGGCCAGGCUGGUCUCAAACUCCUGGCCUCAAAGGAUCUGCCCACCUCAGCCUCCCAAAAUGCUGGGAUUACAGGCGUGAGCCACUGCGCCUGGCUUUUUUUUUUUUUUGGAGACAGGGUCUCCCACUGUCAUGUAGGCUGGAGUGCAGUGGCACAAUACUCACUGCAGCCUCUACCUCUUGGGCUUAACUGAUCCUCCCACCUCAGCCUCUGAAGUAUCUGGGACUAGAGGUAUGAGUCAUCAUGCCCAGACUAAUAUUUUAAUUCAAACAUUUAUUAACUUAAUGCUUUAAUUUACUAAUUGAAUUUCAUUAAUUCAAUUCCUAGUUAACCAAAAGAAACCCAGGAUAGCUGGAACAAAGAGGACUCAUGCUGGCUGGAGUGCAGGCAGGACGGCUGGAAAGUAGCCAUCUUGGACCAUAAAGAGGAAAGCCCAUGUUAUGCUGGGCUUGGUGGAAAUCGACACACUUUGUUUAUGCCUCUGGAUAUAUUAUUCACCGCUGGGCAAUUUAGCCUACUAUGAUUAUGUUUUGUUUCUUUGUUAGUUAAAAAAAAUUUCAUGGAGUCAAUUAUACCUAAAAACAAAAUUGGGAUUUAUUUGCUUAGUUUUCUAUGUUCCAAUCAUGAAUUUAUUCUCCAUCAUUCACUAAAAGUGUAGAUUUUUCCUGUAUUCAUUUCAUCUUAUUUCUUGGGUACCUCCCUCCUGGAGGCUUUUGUCCUCUGGCUCCAGCCUUACUGAUUGCUCCCUAGGCCUGCUGCCAGGCCAGCUAUCACCCUAGGAUUUCCCUUCAUUAUCAUCUUGGAGACUUUCUUAUUUCUCACCUAUACUGGAAUAUCCUGUUGCCUGGAUCACGUCUUCCUGUUUCUUGGUUUAUUCUCUUAUUCUGGUGCACCACAUCCUCCAGUAGUUUCCUGAGAAAGGGUACAUGGAUAGGAAAUAAGAUUUCACGUAUCUGAAAAUAUGCUUUAUUUUUUAUUUUUUUGAGACAGGGUCUCACUCUGUUGCCCAUGCUGGAGUGCAGUGGCAUGAUCAUGGCUCACUGCAGCCUCUAUCUCCCUGGGCUCAGGUGAUCCUCCAUGUGCAGCUUCCAAGCAGCUGGGACUCCAAGCACAAACCUUUUUUUUUCUUUUUGUAGAGAUAGGGUUUCACCAUGUUGCCCAAGCUGCUCUUGAACUCCUGAGGCUCAAGUGAUCCAUUAGCCU